UACAGAGGGUGCGAGCGUUAAUCGGAAUUACUGGGCGUAAAGAGCGCGUAGGCGGCUCGGUAAGCCGGAUGUGAAACCUCCAAGCUCAACUUGGAGCGGCCAUUCGGAACUGCUGUGGCUAGAGUCUGGUAGGGGAACACGGAAUUCCUGGUGUAGCGGUGAAAUGCUUAGAUAUCAGGAGGAACACCAGUGGCGAAGGCGGUGUUCUGGGCCAGUACUGACGCUGAGGCGCGAAAGCGUGGGGAGCGAACAGG
rnacentral:rRNA from 1 species